GACGUAGGGUGCGAGCGUUAAUCGGAAUUACUGGGCGUAAAGCGUGCGCAGGCGGUUUUGUAAGCCAGAUGUGAAAGCCCCGGGCUUAACCUGGGAAUGGCAUUUGGGACUGCAAGGCUUGAGUGCGGCAGAGGAGACUGGAAUUCCUGGUGUAGCAGUGAAAUGCGUAGAUAUCAGGAGGAACACCGAUGGCGAAGGCAGGUCUCUGGGCUGACACUGACGCUCAUGCAUGAAAGCGUGGGGAGCAAACAGG
rnacentral:rRNA from 1 species